rnacentral:rRNA from 1 species
AGAGUUUGAUCAUGGCUCAGGAUAAACGCUGGCGGCGUGCCUAACACAUGCAAGUCGAACGCGUCCGAAGGGGCAACUCUUCGGAUGAGUGGCGGACGGGUGAGGAACACGUGGGUUAUCUACCUUGAGGUGAGGAAUACCGGCGAGAAAUCGCCGACAAGACCGCAUACGUUUGGAGACAAACAAAGCCGAGCAAUCGGCGCCACAAGAUGAGCCUGCGGCCGAUUAGCUAGUUGGUGGGGUAAAAGCCUACCAAGGCGACGAUCGGUAGCUGGUCUGAGAGGACGAUCAGCCACACUGGGAUUGAGAACGGCCCAGACUCCUACGGGGGGCAGCAGUGAGGAAUUUUCGUCAAUGGGGGCAACCCUGAACGAGCAACGCCGCGUGCAGGAAGAAGGUUUUCGGAUCGUAAACUGCUUUUCCCAGGGAAGAGAACGGACGGUACCUGGGGAAGAAGCCCCGGCUAACUACGUGCCAGCAGCCGCGGUAAUACGUAGGGGGCAAGCGUUGUCCGGAUUUAUUGGGCGUAAAGCGCACGCAGGCGGUCAUGUCAGUUUGGAGUGACAGGUGGUGGCUUAACUACCACAGGCCUCAAAAUACGGCAUGACUUGAGGGCUUGAGAGGGACGCGGAAUUCCAGGUGGAGCGGUGAAAUGCGUAGAGAUCUGGAAGAACACCAAAGGCGAAGGCAGCGUCCUGGCAAGUUCCUGACGCUCAGGUGCGAAAGCUAGGGGAGCGAACGGGAUUAGAUACCCUAGUAGUCC